rnacentral:misc_RNA from 1 species
AAGCCCCCAAAAGCAGCAGUCAAUGUACAGAAUCAGACGUAUUCGGAAAGAAUUAAAAGAGAGCUGGUAUUCAAAGAGGAUCGAAUGCUAAGUUCUCUUCCCAACAAAAAAAAAAAAAAAGUAACUAAAUUCUCGUGUGUUUAUGACUGAUUUUGUGGACCAAAUGAAAACCAGGAAGGCCAAAGAAGAAAUUAUGAAGCUUUCGCCGUAUAAAUGAAGAGGGUAAAGAAAAAAGUUACUUCUUUGCAGAAACCGAAGUGAAAAUGUAGAAAUGUUAUUUGCCUGUCUUUGGUUUCAAUGAUAGAAAUGAAACCCAGAAACGCCAAAUGAAGAAUGACUAGAUAGAAUGAACCUAUGCUUUCUUUAGCUGAAAAUUAGAAACGUUAAGCGAUCUGAAUCCAAUGAAUUAACG